rnacentral:rRNA from 1 species
GACGAACGCUGGCGGCGUGCUUAACACAUGCAAGUCGAACGGCAAGGCCCUGGCUUUGUGGGGUGCUCGAGUGGCGAACGGGUGAGUAACACGUGAGUAACUUGCCCUUGACUUUGGGAUAACUUCAGGAAACUGGGGCAAUAACCGGUUAGGUGCACCUGCGGAAUGGGGGGGGCUGGAAAGCUUCGGCGGUUGGGGAUGGACUCGCGGCUUAUCCGCUUGUUGGUGGGGUAGUGGCUUACCAAGGCUUUGACGGGUAGCCGGCCUGAGAGGGUGACCGGCCACAUUGGGACUGAGAUACGGCCCAGACUCCUACGGGAGGCAGCAGUGGGGAAUAUUGCACAAUGGGCGGAAGCCUGAUGCAGCAACGCCGCGUUCGUGAUGACGGCCUUCGGGUUGUAAACCGCUUUCGCCUGUGACGAAGCGUGAGUGACGGUAAUGGGUAAAGAAGCACCGGCUAACUACGUG